UACGAAGGGGGCUAGCGUUGUUCGGAAUUACUGGGCGUAAAGGGCGCGUAGGCGGUGUGUCAAGUCAGGCGUGAAAGCCCCGGGCUCAACGUGGAGGCGCCACCUGAAACUGCCGUGACUCGAGUCCGGUAGGGGAGUGUGGAAUUCCCGGUGUAGCGGUGAAAUGCGCAGAUAUCGGGAGGAACACCGGUGGCGAAGGCGGAUCUCUGGGCCAUUACUGACGCUGAGGAGCGAAAGCGUGGG
rnacentral:rRNA from 1 species